AUCCUGAGUACGGCGGAACACGAGAAAUUCCGUCGGAAUCCGGGAGGACCAUCUCCCAAGGCUAAAUACUCCCUAGUGACCGAUAGUGAACCAGUACCGUGAGGGAAAGGUGAAAAGCACCCCGGAAGGGGAGUGAAAUAGAACCUGAAACCGUGUGCCUACAACAAGUCAAAGCCCGUUAAUGGGUGAUGGCGUGCCUUUUGUAGAAUGAACCGGCGAGUUACGAUUGCAUGCGAGGUUAAGUUGAAGAGACGGAGCCGCAGCGAAAGCGAGUCUGAAUAGGGCGUUUGAGUAUGUAGUCGUAGACCCGAAACCAUGUGAUCUACCCAUGUCCAGGUUGAAGGUGCGGUAAAACGCACUGGAGGACCGAACCCACGUACGUUGAAAAGUGCGGGGAUGAGGUGUGGGUAGCGGAGAAAUUCCAAACGAACUUGGAGAUAGCUGGUUCUCUCCGAAAUAGCUUUAGGGCUAGCCUCGGAAUUGAGAAUGAUGGAGGUAGAGCACUGUUUGGACUAGGGGCCCAUCUCGGGUUACCGAAUUCAGAUAAACUCCGAAUGCCAUUCAUUCAUAUCCGGGAGUCAGACUGUGAGUGAUAAGAUCCAUAGUCGAAAGGGAAACAGCCCAGACCACCAGCUAAGGUCCCAAAAUAUAUGUUAAGUGGAAAAGGAUGUGGGGUUGCACAGACAACUAGGAUGUUGGCUUAGAAGCAGCCACCAUUUAAAGAGUGCGUAAUAGCUCACUAGUCGAGUGACCCUGCGCCGAAAAUGUACCGGGGCUAAACAUAUUACCGAAGCUGUGGAGUACACCUUUAGGUGUAUUGGUAGGAGAGCGUUCUAAGGGCGUCGAAGGCAGAUCGUGAGGACUGCUGGAGCGCUUAGAAGUGAGAAUGCCGGUAUGAGUAGCGAAAGACAGGUGAGAAUCCUGUCCACCGAAUGACUAAGGUUUCCUGGGGAAGGCUCGUCCGCCCAGGGUUAGUCGGGACCUAAGCCGAGGCCGAUAGGCGUAGGCGAUGGAUAACAGGUUGAUAUUCCUGUACCCGUUGUUUUUGUUUGAGCAAUGGAGGGACGCAGGAGGCUAAGGAAUGCAGACGAUCGGAAAUGUCUGUCCAAGCAGUAAGUCUGAAGAGGAGUCAAAUGCUUCUUUUCUUAAGGACAAGCUGUGAUGGGGAGGGAAAUAAUAGUACCGAAGUUCCUGAUGUCACACUGCCGAGAAAAGCUUCUAGUGAGAAAACAGCGGCCCGUACCGCAAACCGACACAGGUAGUCGAGGAGAGAAUCCUAAGGUGAGCGAGAGAACUCUCGUUAAGGAACUCGGCAAAAUGACCCCGUAACUUCGGGAGAAGGGGUGCUGAUCAUACGAUCAGCCGCAGUGAAUAGGCCCAAGCGACUGUUUAUCAAAAACACAGGUCUCUGCAAAAUCGUAAGAUGAAGUAUAGGGGCUGACGCCUGCCCGGUGCUGGAAGGUUAAGAGGAGUGCUUAGCGCAAGCGAAGGUACGAAUUGAAGCCCCAGUAAACGGCGGCCGUAACUAUAACGGUCCUAAGGUAGCGAAAUUCCUUGUCGGGUAAGUUCCGACCCGCACGAAAGGCGUAACGAUUUGGGCACUGUCUCAACGAGAGACUCGGUGAAAUUUUAGUACCUGUGAAGAUGCAGGUUACCCGCGACAGGACGGAAAGACCCCAUGGAGCUUUACUGUAGUUUGAUAUUGAGUGUCUGUACCGCAUGUACAGGAUAGGUAGGAGCCGUAGAAAUCGGAACGCUAGUUUCGAUGGAGGCGCUGGUGGGAUACUACCCCUGCGUUAUG
rnacentral:rRNA from 1 species